CUUUACUGUAUCUUGGCAUUGAAUUUUGAUCUUGUUUGUGUAGGAUAGGUGGGAGACUUUGAGGCUUGGGCGCUAGUUCAGGCGGAGUCGUCGUUGAAAUACCACCCUGACUUAAUCGAAAUUCUAACUCGCACCUGUGAAACCAGGGCGGGAACAUUGUCUGGAAGGCAGUUUGACUGGGGCGGUCGCCUCCAAAAGAGUAACGGAGGCGCUCCAAGGUAUGCUCAGCGCGGUCGGCAAUCGCGCUAAAGAGUGCAUAGGCAUAAGCAUGCUUAACUGCGAGUCACACACGACGAGCAGAUGGGAAACCAGGACUAAGUGAUCCGGUGGCGCCAUGUGGAAGGGCCAUCGCUCAGCGGAUAAAAGCUA
rnacentral:rRNA from 1 species